rnacentral:rRNA from 1 species
GAACGCUAGCUACAGGCUUAACACAUGCAAGUCGAGGGCAGCAUACGAUAGCUUGCUAUGUUGAUGGCGACCGGCGCACGGGUGAGUAACGCGUAUCCAACCUGCCCAUCACUUGGGGAUAACCUUGCGAAAGUAAGACUAAUACCCAAUGACGUCUCUAGAAGACAUCUGAAAGAGAUUAAAGAUUUAUCGGUGAUGGAUGGGGAUGCGUCUGAUUAGCUUGUUGGCGGGGUAACGGCCCACCAAGGCAACGAUCAGUAGGGGUUCUGAGAGGAAGGUCCCCCACAUUGGAACUGAGACACGGUCCAAACUCCUACGGGAGGCAGCAGUGAGGAAUAUUGGUCAAUGGGCGAGAGCCUGAACCAGCCAAGUAGCGUGCAGGACGACGGCCCUAUGGGUUGUAAACUGCUUUUAUAAGGGAAUAAAGUGGGUCUCGUGAGACUUUUUGCAUGUACCUUAUGAAUAAGGACCGGCUAAUUCCGUG